rnacentral:rRNA from 1 species
GAUGAACGCUAGCGGCAGGCUUAAUACAUGCAAGUCGAGGGACAGCACAGGUAGCAAUACUGGGUGGUAACCGGCAAACGGGUGCGGAACACGUACACAACCUUCCUUUAAGUGGGGGAUAGCCCAGAGAAAUUUGGAUUAAUACCCCGUAAUAUAGUUGAAUGGCAUCAUUUGAUUAUUAUAGCUACGGCGCUUAAUGAUGGGUGUGCGGCUGAUUAGAUAGUUGGCGGGGUAACGGCCCACCAAGUCUACGAUCAGUAGCUGAUGUGAGGGGAUGAUCGGCCACAGGGGAAAUGCGACACGGGCCCGACUCCUGCGGGAGGCAGGAGUAAGGAAUAUUGGUCAAUGGACGCAAGUCUGAACCAGCCAUGCCGCGUGAAGGAGUAAGGUCCUCUGGAUUGUAAACUUCUUUUAUUUGGGACGAAAAAGGGCCUUUCUAGGUCAACUGACGGUACCAGAUGAAUAAGCACCGGCUAACUCCGUGCCAGCAGCCGCGGUAACAC